UACAGGGGGGGCAAGCGUUGUUCGGAAUUACUGGGCGUAAAGGGCUCGUAGGUGGCCGACUAAGUCAGACGUGAAAUCCCCUCAGCUUAACUGGGGAACUGCGUCUGAUACUGGAUGGCUUGAGUUUGGGAGAGGGAUGCGGAAUUCCAGGUGUAGCGGUGAAAUGCGUAGAUAUCUGGAGGAACACCGGUGGCGAAGGCGGCAUCCUGGACCAACACUGACACUGAGGAGCGAAAGCCAGGGGAGCAAACGGG
rnacentral:rRNA from 1 species